UACGUAGGUGGCAAGCGUUGUCCGGAUUUACUGGGCGUAAAGGGCGUGCAGGCGGUUUGUUAAGUUCAGGGUGAAAGCUCCCGGCUCAACUGGGAGAGGUCCUUGGAUACUGGCAGACUUGAGGAGGGUAGAGGAGAGUGGAAUUCCCGGUGUAGUGGUGAUAUGCGUAGAUAUCGGGAGGAACACCAGUGGCGAAGGCGGCUCUCUGGGCCCUACCUGACGCUGAGACGCGAAAGCGUGGGGAGCGAACAGG
rnacentral:rRNA from 1 species